UACGUAGGGCGCAAGCGUUGUCCGGAAUUAUUGGGCGUAAAGAGCUCGUAGGUGGCGGGUCACGUCGGGUGUGAAAGCCCGGGGCUUAACUCCGGGUCUGCAUUCGAUACGGGUCUGCUGGGGUCCGGCAGGGGAGACUGGAAUUCCUGGUGUAGCGGUGAAAUGCGCAGAUAUCAGGAGGAACACCGGUGGCGAAGGCGGGUCUCUGGGCCGGUACCGACGCUGAGGAGCGAAAGCGUGGGGAGCGAACAGG
rnacentral:rRNA from 1 species